rnacentral:lncRNA from 1 species
CCUUAGCUUCAGCUGCAGCUCUGGGGCUGGUACUGUGAACUAAUCAAAGUGACCAAAGGCAAAAGCAUCACUCUUCAAAUCUGCUGCAAGAAUAAAUCAAGAAACCUGAGAGAACCCACAGAACCUCUGAAGGAAGCAGAUUGCUCCUGCAGGACUCAGAAGAUGCCCCAAAUACUGUGCUGGUAUCCACAGCUGAGAGACCCACAGAUGGUUCACAUCACAGGACUCCAUACAGACAGCCCCCAGAAUCAGCUCAGAGCCUGGUAGACCUGCUGGGUGACUAGAUGCAGAAGAGAGAUAACAACUACUACAGCCCGGCUCUCAGGAAGCCACGUCCCUAGGAAAAGGAGGCGAGUACUACAUCAAGGGAACACCUCAUGGGACAAAAUAAUCUGAACAACAGCCUUGAGCCCUAGACCUCUCUUCUGACAGAGCCUACCCAAAUGAGAAGGAACCAGAAAAUCAACUCUGGUAAUGUGACCAAACAACGUUCUUUAACACCCCCCAAAAAUUACACUAGCUCACCAGCAAUGGAUCCAAACCGAGAAGAAAUACCUGAUUUACGUGAAAAAAAUUCAGAAAGUCAGUUAUUAAGCUAAUCAAAAAGGCACCAGAGCCUUCACCAGAAUGAAGCCCUAUUUAAAUAAACUUUAAAAAUACAAGAAAUGAGGGGAGAAAUCAUCAGUUAAAUAGAUAGCAUACAUAAAAACAAUCAAAACUCCAGGAAAAAAUGGACACAUUUAUAGAAAUGCAAAAUUAUUUGGAAAGUCUCAGCAAUAGAAUCAAACAAUCAGAAGAAAGAACUUCAGAGCUCCAAGACAUGGUUUUUGAAUUAACCCAAUCCAACAAAGACAAAGAAAAAAGAAUAAGAAAAUAUAAGCAAAGACUCCAAGAUGUCCGGUAUUAGGUUAAAUGACCAAACCUAAGAAUAAAAAUUGGCAUUCCUGAGGAAGAAGAGAAAUCUAAAAGCAUAAAACACAUUUUGGGAAAUAAUUGAGGAAAACUUCCUCAGCAUUGCUAGAGACCUAGACAUUCAAAUAUAAGAAGUUCAAAGAACACUUUGGAAAUUCAUCACAAAAAGAUCUUCGCCUAGGCACAUUGCCAUCAGGUUAUCUCAAGUUAAGAUGUAGGAAAGAAUCUUAAGAAUUGUGAGGCAAAGGCAUCAGGUAAACUAUGAAGGAAAAUCUAUCAGAUUAACAGCAGAUUUCUCAGCAGAAACCCUACAAGAUAGAAGGGAUUGGGGCCCUAUCAUCAGCCUCCUUAAAAAAAAAAAAAAAAUUAUCAGCCAAGAAUUUGGUAUCCAGCAAAACUAACCUUCAUAAAUGAAGGAAAGAUACAGUCUUUUUCCGACAAAUGCUGACAGAAUUCACCACUACCAAGCCAGCACUACAAGAAUGGCUAAAAUGAGCUCUAAAUCUUGAAACAAAUCCUGGAAACACAUCAAAACAGAACCUCUUUAAAACAUAAAUCUCACAGGACCUAUAAAACAAAAAUACAAUUAAAAAAAAGCAAGGUAUACAGGAAACAAAUAGCAUAAUAAAUGGAAUAGUACCUCACAUCUCAAUACUAAUACUGAUUGUAAAUGUCCUAAAUGCUCCAGUUAAAAGAUACAGAAUUGCAGAAUAGAUAAGAAUUCACCAACCACCUAUGUGCUGCCUUCAAGAGACUCACCUAACACAAGGACUCACAUAAACUUAAGGUAAAGGAAAAAGACAUUCCAUGCAAAUGGACACUAAAAGCGAGCAGGAGUAGCUAGUCUUAUAUUGGACAAAAAAGACUUUAAAGCAACAGCAGUUUAAAAAAGACAAAGAGGGACAUCAUAUAAUGAUAAAAGGCCUUGUCCAACAGGAAAAUAUCACAAUCCUAAAUAUAUAUGCACCUAACACUGGAGUCCAAAAUUUAUAAAACAAUUACUAAUAGACCUAAGAAAUGAGAUAGACAGCAACACAAUAAUAGUGGAGGACUUCAAUGCCCUGCUGACAGCACUAGACAGGUUAUCAAGACAGAAAGUCAACAAAGAAACAAUGGAAAGCCAGGCGCGGUGGCUCACACCUGUAAUCCCA